UAGUAUUCAAUUGUCAGAGGUGAAAUUCUUGGAUUUAUUGAAGACUAUCUACUGCGAAAGCAUUUGCCAAGGAUGUUUUCAUUAAUCAAGAACGAAAGUUAGGGGAUCGAAGACGAUCAAUACCGUCGUAGUCUUAACCRUAAACUAUGCCGACUAGGGAUCGGAUGAUGUUAAUUUUUUAAUGACUCA
rnacentral:rRNA from 1 species